rnacentral:lncRNA from 1 species
ACAGACAAUGUAGUUUAUUACUGUAUUCCUUUUUUGUGUGUGUUUUUAAGGCUCAAGGAAAAGACUCAGGAUUCAAAGAGAUUACAAGACAAUACCUGGAGACAAAAAGCAGACUGGCUGUGCACAAGAAAGCAAGGAAGUGUAAGACCAUGAAAAACAUGAUUCCACCUCUACAGGCAUUCUACUUCCAUAGAGAUUCAGUACGAC